rnacentral:rRNA from 1 species
AAGGUUUCCUGAGGAAGGCUCGUCCGCUCAGGGUUAGUCGGGACCUAAGCCGAGGCCGAUAGGCGUAGGCGAUGGACAACAGGUUGAUAUUCCUGUACCACCUCCUCACCGUUUGAGAAAUGGGGGGACGCAGUAGGAUAGGGUAAGCGCGCUGUUGGAUAUGCGCGUCCAAGCAGUGAGGCGUGUGUGUAGGCAAAUCCGCACACUGUAACGUUGAGCUGUGAUGGCGAGUCCGUAUGGACGAAGUUCCUGAUUUCACACUGCCAAGAAAAGCCUCUAUCGAGGUGAGAGGUGCCCGUACCGCAAACCGACACAGGUAGUCGAGGAGAGAAUCCUAAGGUGUGCGAGAGAACUCUCGUUAAGGAACUCGGCAAAAUGACCCCGUAACUUCGGGAGAAGGGGUGCUCUUGAGCGUGCAAGCGCAUGAGAGCCGCAGUGAAUAGGCCCAGGCGACUGUUUAGCAAAAACACAGGUCUCUGCAAAACCGUAAGGUGACGUAUAGGGGCUGACGCCUGCCCGGUGCUGGAAG